AGAGUUUGAUCCUGGCUCAGGACGAACGCUUGCGACGUGCCUAAGAAAUGCAAGUCGAGCGGGGAGCAAUCCCAGCGGCGAACGGUCGCGUAACACGUAAGCAACCUGCCCCCAAGACCGGGACAACAUUCCGAAAGGAGUGCUAAUACCGGAUGUGCCCGCCGGGUGACAUCUCCUGGCGAGUAAAUCAAGCAAUUGGCUUAGGGAGGGGCUUGCGGCCUAUCAGCUAGAUGGUGGGGUAACGGCCUACCAUGGCGACGACGGGUAGCUGGUCUGAGAGGAUGGUCAGCCGGAUUGGGACUGAGAUACGGCCCAGACUCCUACGGGGGGCAGCAAUUAGGAAUCUUGCACAAUGGGCGAAAGCCUGAUGCAGCGACGUCGCGUGGGGGAGGAAGGCUUUCGGGUUGUAAACCCCUUUUACUCAGGAAGAAACAAAUGACGGUACUGGGUGAAUAAGCCCCGGCUAACCACGUGCCAGCAGCCGCGGUAAUA
rnacentral:rRNA from 1 species